rnacentral:rRNA from 1 species
CCUACGGGAGGCAGCAGUGAGGAAUAUUGGUCAAUGGACGAGAGUCUGAACCAGCCAAGUAGCGUGAAGGAUGACUGCCCUAUGGGUUGUAAACUUCUUUUAUAUGGGAAUAAAAUGUUCCACGUGUGGGCUUUUGUAUGUACCAUAUGAAUAAGGAUCGGCUAACUCCGUGCCAGCAGCCGCGGUAAUACGGAGGAUCCGAGCGUUAUCCGGAUUUAUUGGGUUUAAAGGGAGCGUAGGUGGAUUGUUAAGUCAGUUGUGAAAGUUUGUGGCUCAAACGUAAAAUUGCAGUUGAAACUGGCAGUCUUGAGUACAGUAGAGGUGGGCGGAAUUCGUGGUGUAGCGGUGAAAUGCUUAGAUAUCACGAAGAACUCCGAUUGCGAAGGCAGCUCACUGGACUGCAACUGACACUGAGGCUCGAAAGUGUGGGUAUCAAACAGGAUUAGAUACCCCUGUAGUC